rnacentral:lncRNA from 1 species
UUGGCCUCGUACUUUGAGCAUUAUCUUCUUUAGCUAACUCUAGCAAUCUCUGAUAAAAUGAUCUCGUGAACCACAACUGUAACAAGUUUUAUUAUUAUUUUUCACUCAGCAAUCUCUAAAAUGUCGUCUUCUACACUGUUGACACUCAGGUUUAACAUCUUUUACGUUACCAAUACUCAAUACUGAUGUGGCUUGAGCUUUAGGGUUAGUGUAUUGCUUUCCGAGACCUCUAUU